rnacentral:misc_RNA from 1 species
AUGGGGCGCACGUGUUCAAUGUUUUUGGUUCUUUACAAGUGUGUGUGUGUGCCGAUUCACGUCUGUGUUAAUUUGUAGUCGUACAAGCCGUUCUGCGUAAAGACGUACCCGUUGUUACCAUCGUUACCAUUUGGUGUGAUGAAGCGCUUGUGCGUCUUUGCACGUCGUUCACGUCACCUUAGCAGCCUAAACUCGUUUAGGCAGCUCUGUGCAGCAGCAAAACCAGCUUUUGAAGAUCUGUCACAUUCAAGCCGGAAAGAUUCUGAAGAUAAAAAGCACGUGUACAGAAAUUUGUACCCGUGGAAAUCGAAGGGCGAGUUUGUUCGGGAUUUGGCGGGUAGUAUAUUUUAUAACCAAGAUGGGCUUAUUGCGCUCAGCAAACCAUACGGGGUUCCCCUGAGCAUGAAUUUCCGCAAGGAAGGCCGAUCCCAAAGUAUGCUCAAGCAACGCCUUCACGUCUCGGGCUUCGGCGAGUCUCCUUACAGUCUAGAAGAUGCCCUAGAUGGCUUGGCGGUUCACUUGAAUGUCGACCAAAUUAUGAUCGUCAAAUCAGCUGAAAGGUAUGCUAGCGGUGUCACCAUUCUGGCGUCCAAUGAGCAAGCUGCACGAAGUGCUCAGAAAGCUGUGCUGCGAGCAAAGCCAAUGCAGAUACCAUAUACGACUGCUUGGAUAAUUGCGAAAGGCUACCCGGUGCGUGAUGAAGUCAAGGAAAAAGUUGCCAUAAAGCUUGUACCUGUGAAUGAAUCAGAAAAACGUGUGGAAGUGUUGCGCGAGUUCAGCAAAACUGCUUCAAAGACAAGGGUGGUGAAGGCUGUUCUUGUGGAGUGCCAGACUUUGAGCAAAAACACCAGCAUGGCCAUGAGCCUGCUUCAAGUGGCUGCAUCAAACGUACACAAGAGUUUUUUGCGUGCAUAUGUGGCCAACCUGGCAUCUUGUGUGAUGGGUGACUUGAGCCCCAAUGCCUGCCUCACCAAGUAUCAUCAAGGCCGGCCCUUGGUGCUGUCUCCUGUGGCAGCUGCUUCUGCCAAACCGCAGCCUCUUCCAGAUGCAGUCUGCAAGCAGCUGGGAAUCUCCAACACCCAGCAGCAAAUAGUGCCUGCCAUGGUGCACUACCGGAGCCUACUGUUGCCUUGGUACCAUGGAAAAGACCAGCACUUGCUCUUGAGUGACCCCACGCUGCCCAAACACUUCAGCUGGACCCUUGAGGCACUAGGUCUUCUGCCCGACUUGCACCCAAAGAAAUGACUCUUUCGUGUGGACGCGGCUGCUAUUUGAUUGUGCUACUGUCUAAGCACAAUAUGCGAGCCAACUUACGAAAUGAAAUUGCCUGAUGACGACUGUGUACAUAGAAGGCAGUAAAAGUAGUUACAAAUUAAA